rnacentral:misc_RNA from 1 species
GAUGAAGAACGUAGCGAAAUGCGAUAAGUAAUGUGAAUUGCAGAAUUCAGUGAAUCAUCGAGUCUUUGAACGCACAUUGCGCCCCCUGGUAUUCCGGGGGGCAUGCCUGUCCGAGCGUCAUUGCCGCCCUCAAGCACGGCUUGUGUGUUGGGCCCCCGCCCCCCGGCUUCGGGGGGCGGGCCCGAAAGGCAGCGGCGGCACCGCGUCCGGUCCUCGAGCGUAUGGGGCUUCGUCACCCGCUCUGUAGGCCCGGCCGGCGCCCGCCGGCGACCCCAAUCAAUCUUUCCAGGUUGACCUCGGAUCAGGUAGGGAUACCCGCUGAACUUAAGCAUAUCAAGCGGAGGA